GGAAGCGUGGCAGAGCGGCCUAAUGCAGUCGCCUUGAAAGCGACCGAGGUGAUGAGCCUCCGGGGGUUCGAAUCCCCCCGCUUCCG
rnacentral:tRNA from 1 species